rnacentral:rRNA from 1 species
AGUCGAGCGAUGAACACCUUCGGGUGUGAAUUAGCGGCGAACGGGUGAGGAACACGUGAAGAAUCUGCCUUCAACUCUGGGAUAACUCCGGGAAACCGGGGCUAAUACCGGAUAUGAGCCUCGAUCGCAUGAUUGGGGCUGGAAAGUUUUUCGGUUGAAGAUGACUUCGCGGCCUAUCAGCUUGUUGGUGAGGUAAUGGCUCACCAAGGCGACGACGGGUAGCCGGCCUGAGAGGGCGACCGGCCACACUGGGACUGAGACACGGCCCAGACUCCUACGGGAGGCAGCAGUGGGGAAUAUUGGGCAAUGGAGGAAACUCUGACCCAGCGACGCCGCGUGAGGGAUGAAGGCCUUCGGGUUGUAAACCUCUUUCAGUAGGGAAGAAGCGAAAGUGACGGUACCUACAGAAGAAGCACCGGCUAACUAUGUGCCAGCAGCCGCGGUAAUACAUAGGGUGCAAGCGUUGUCCGGAAUUAUUGGGCGUAAAGAGCUCGUAGGUGGUUCGAUACGUCGGAUGUGAAAAUCAGGGGCUCAACCCCUGACCUGCAUCCGAUACGGUCGAGCUAGAGUUUGGUAGGGGAGACUGGAAUUCCUGGUGUAGCGGUGGAAUGCGCAGAUAUCANGAGGAACACCGAUGGCGAAGGCAGGUCUCUGGGCCAAUACUGACACUGAGGAGCGAAAGCGUGGGGAGCGAACAGGAUUAGAUACCCUGGUAGUCCACGCCCGUAAACGGUGGGCGCUAGUUGUGCGAACCUUCCACGGUUUGUGCGACGCAGCUAACGCAUUAAGCGCCCCGCCUGGGGAG